rnacentral:tRNA from 1 species
GGGAAGGUAGUUCAGUGGUAGAAUGCUUGCCUUGCAUGCAGGAGGCCCUGGCUGGAUUUCUCA